AAUUUUGUCUGACAUUUAAUUUUUCUAUUACCGGAAAACGGAAACCCUGGCACUAACAGCUCAUAUCACGUGGCUGGAUCUGACUGGAAGGAUAAUGGGAGUUAGAAAGGACGGGUCGCGCUUCUGCCUUCUCACACAGCGAGACAGGUUCGUGGCUUUGAGCGUCGCGAUUUCGGUUUCGAUACGCAUAUCGUUACAGCCCUACUAUACACUGAUCAGAGGAGGAAGACAGCAGACGCAACUACUCUAACCUUGGAGAAUAACUAUCUUAGAGCAACCAUAUCAAUUUCCGGUAGGCGUAUUGGGAUUUUUGUUGGUGUGGCAGGUUGAGUGUUGCUCCUCCUCCACUCAGGUGAUUUCUGGUGGGCAGAUUGCAGAGUGGUUUCACCUGUAUAAGUGCUGCGCCUUCUCUGGCGCGCACACUGCUGCCUGGCACUCGUGGCGAAGACUCGGUGUGGCGUCUGUUAGUUGUUGGUUUGUUGUCGGUUGGUGUGGCGUGCUUCAGUCACUUGAAGCGUUGUUGGCCGUGUUGUUCGGGGGCGGCAUUGUGAAGAGUGAGGGGAGUGUGGCAUCCGCUCUGUACUGUUGCCGCAGCCGGUGAUCAGUUUCGGGGGCGAAAAGCUCUCUUCGUUCGGCUGUUGGAGCCGCAGCGGUGCUUUUGCUUUUCUUCCUCCUCCUGUGCUCUGGUGAAGCUGCCCUGCACGGCUCUGUGACGUAGCCUACACCUGGCGAUCCCAAACGUAAACCAUCCACGGCCUCCGGUCCUGGGGCGGCCGCUCUGUCUUCGCCAGCCGCUCCGUCUUCUCCAUCCACUCCGUCUUCUCCAUCCACUCCGUCGUCUUCAUCAUCUUCGGCUGCUCCGGCACCGUUGCCUUUUUCCACACAGUCCGAUGUGGCGGUUGCAUUCCCACGCAGCGCUAAGUUUUCAGUCCCACCACAACUCUUAUUGGUUUGGUUAAUUGUCUGCUUUUCCUUUCAUCUUGUGUUUGUGUUCUUUAGUUUAUUUGUUUGGGUUAAAUCCUAUACAUGCAUAUAUUUUUGUGUUGCGUUUUGUUGACCCAUUUGGGGUUAAGCAUAUCAAUAUUUUCUUAUUAUUUCUGAUCUAUUGAUUUGGGGUUUAACUGAUUAUUUUCUGUUUAGUUUAACAUAGCUGUUGGGUUUGUGUUUGGGGUGUUAAAUACGCCUGGCCCCCACCCACAGUUAAAUUUCGUUUGUUUCCUUAUUACUUGUCUUAAGAAUUGGUUGGGUUUCUGUAUAUUUUUGUAUUUGGGUAUAAAUAUUUAGUUAUGAGUCAGUUCUGUUCCUGUGUGUGGGUGUGAGUGCUGUGUGUGUGUGUGUAUGUGUGUGUUUUAUUAUAGUCCUCUGUUUUAAAUGAUUGUCGUAACAACCUGAGUGUCUCGCCACAACAGUAGUGUAAUUUUUGUGUUUCUUUCUUGUGUUUCCAGGACAGGAGCUGGUGCAGCGGGCCGCGGGCGGCAGGCUUGGUUUGUAGUGGUUCUUUUGUGGUUUUGAGUUGAUUUAGCCUGACCGCCUCGCUACAGCCUAGCUCUGUGCCUGUUGUAUUUAUUUCUACUUUGGGGUUUUGACUUGACACUUCAGUGGUUGUUGAGAUCCCUGAGCUCUUUUAAUUCUGCUUACUGUAAAUAAAUAA